rnacentral:rRNA from 1 species
GAUGAACGCUGGCGGCGUGCCUAAUACAUGCAAGUCGAGCGAACAGACGAGGAGCUUGCUCCUCUGACGUUAGCGGCGGACGGGUGAGUAACACGUGGAUAACCUACCUAUAAGACUGGGCUAACUUCGGGAAACCGGAGCUAAUACCGGAUAAUAUAUUUAACCGCAUGGUUCAAUAGUGAAAGACGGUUUUGCUGUCACUUAUCGAUGUAUCCGCGCCGCAUUAGCUAGUUGGUAAGGUAACGGCUUACCAAGGCACCGAUGCGUAGCCGACCUGAGAGGGUGAACGGGGACACUGGGAGUGAGACACGGUACAGACACCGACGGGAGGCAGAGAUAGGGAAGCUUGCGAGAUGGGCGAAAGACUGAAGGAGGAACGCCGCGUGAGUGAAGAAGGGCUUCGGAUCGUAAAACUCUGUUAUUAGGGAAGAACAAAUGUGUAAGUAACUAUGCACGUCUUGACGGUACCUAAUCAGAAAGCCACGGCUAACUACGUG